GUGGGGAAUCUUAGACAAUGGGCGCAAGCCUGAUCUAGCCAUGCCGCGUGAGCGAUGAAGGCCUUAGGGUUGUAAAGCUCUUUCAGUGGGGACGAUAAUGACGGUACCCACAGAAGAAGCCCCGGCUAACUUCGUGCCAGCAGCCGCGGUAAUACGAAGGGGGCUAGCGUUGUUCGGAUUUACUGGGCGUAAAGCGCACGUAGGCGGAUCGUUAAGUCGGGGGUGAAAUCCUGGAGCUCAACUCCAGAACUGCCUUCGAUACUGGCGAUCUUGAGUACGGAAGAGGUGAGUGGAACUCCUAGUGUAGAGGUGGAAUUCGUAGAUAUUAGGAAGAACACCAGUGGCGAAGGCGGCUCACUGGUCCGGUACUGACGCUGAGGUGCGAAAGCGUGGGGAGCAAACAGGAUUAGAUACCCGUGUAGUCC
rnacentral:rRNA from 1 species